CGAAAGCCUGACGGAGCAACGCCGCGUGAGGGAUGAAGGCCUCUGGGCUGGAAACCUCUUUUCUCAAGGAAGAAGAUCUGACGGUACUUGAGGAAUAAGCCACGGCUAAUUCCGUGCCAGCAGCCGCGGUAAUACGGGAGUGGCAAGCGUUAUCCGGAAUUAUUGGGCGUAAAGCGUCCGCAGGCGGCCUUGUAAGUCUGCCGUUAAAGCGUGGAGCUCAACUCCAUUUCAGCGGUGGAAACUACAAGGCUUGAGUGUGGUAGGGGCAGAGGGAAUUCCCGGUGUAGCGGUGAAAUGCGUAGAUAUCGGGAAGAACACCAGUGGCGAAGGCGCUCUGCUGGGCCAUAACUGACGCUCAUGGACGAAAGCCAGGGGAGCG
rnacentral:rRNA from 1 species